rnacentral:snRNA from 1 species
GCUCAGAACUGGUACGGACA